rnacentral:rRNA from 1 species
AUUGAACGCUAGCGGGAUGCUUUACACAUGCAAGUCGAACGGCAGCGCGGACUUCGGUCUGGCGGCGAGGGGCGAACGGGUGAGUAAUGUAUCGGAACGUGCCCAGUAGCGGGGGAUAACUACGCGAAAGCGUAGCUAAUACCGCAUACGCCCUACGGGGGAAAGCAGGGGAUCGUAAGACCUUCCACUCUUGCGCGGGCGGAUGUCGGAUUAGCUAGUUGGUGAGGUAACGGCUCACCAAGGCGACGAUCCGUAGCUGGUUUGAGAGGACGACCAGCCACACUGGAACUGAGACACGGCCCAGACUCCUACGGGAGGCAGCAGUGGGGAAUUUUGGACAAUGGGGGCAACCCUGAUCCAGCCAUCCCGCGUGUGCGAUGAAGGCCUUCGGGUUGUAAAGCACUUUUGGCAGGAAAGAAACGUCGCGGGCUAAUACCCCGUGGAACUGACGGUACCUGCAGAAUAAGCACCGGCUAACUACGUG